UACAGAGGGUGCAAGCGUUGUUCGGAUUUACUGGGCGUAAAGCGCGCGUAGGCGGUAUAUCAAGUCGGAUGUGAAAACCCAAGGCUUAACCAUGGAAGUGCAUUCGAAACUGGUACACUGGAGUCUCGGAGAGGGUGGUGGAAUUCCUGGUGUAGAGGUGAAAUUCGUAGAUAUCAGGAAGAACAUCAGUGGCGAAGGCGACCACCUGGACGAUGACUGACGCUGAGGCGCGAAAGCGUGGGUAGCAAACAGG
rnacentral:rRNA from 1 species